rnacentral:rRNA from 1 species
AUUGAACGCUGGCGGCAUGCCUUACACAUGCAAGUCGAACGGCAGCACGGGAGCAAUCCUGGUGGCGAGUGGCGAACGGGUGAGUAAUAUAUCGGAACGUGCCCGGUCGUGGGGGAUAACGUAGCGAAAGCUACGCUAAUACCGCAUACGAUCUACGGAUGAAAGCGGGGGAUCGCAAGACCUCGCGCGAUUGGAGCGGCCGAUAUCAGAUUAGGUAGUUGGUGAGGUAAAGGCUCACCAAGCCGACGAUCUGUAGCUGGUCUGAGAGGACGACCAGCCACACUGGGACUGAGACACGGCCCAGACUCCUACGGGAGGCAGCAGUGGGGAAUUUUGGACAAUGGGCGCAAGCCUGAUCCAGCAAUGCCGCGUGCAGGAUGAAGGCCUUCGGGUUGUAACUAGCUUUGUUACGGAACGAAACGGUGAGCUCUAAUACAG